GCACCUUACUACUUGGAUAACCGUGGUAAUUCUAGAGCUAAUACAUGCUAAAAAUCCCGGACUUCGGAAGGGAUGUAUUUAUUAGAUACAAAACCAAUGCCCUUCGGGGCUCUCUGGUGAUUCAUGAUAACUUCGCGAAUCGCACGGCCUUGUGCCGGCGAUGGUUCAUUCAAAUUUCUUCCCUAUCAACUUUCGAUGUUUGGAUAUGGGCCAAACAUGGUUGCAACGGGUAACGGAGGGUUAGGGCUCGACCCCGGAGAAGGAGCCUGAGAAACGGCUACUACAUCCAAGGAAGGCAGCAGGCGCGCAAAUUACCCAAUCCCGACUCGGGGAGGUAGUGACAAUAAAUACUGAUACAGGGCUCUAUUGGGUCUUGUAAUUGGAAUGAGUACAAUUUAAAUCCCUUAACGAGGAACAAUUGGAGGGCAAGUCUGGUGCCAGCAGCCGCGGUAAUUCCAGCUCCAAUAGCGUAUAUUAAAGUUGUUGUGGUUAAAAAGCUCGUAGUUGAACCUUGGGCCUGGCUGGCCGGUCCGCCUCACCGCGUGCACUGGUCCGGCCGGGCCUUUCCCUCUGUGGAACCCCAUGCCCUUCACUGGGUGUGGCGGGGAAACAGGACUUUUACUUUGAAAAAAUUAGAGUGCUCCAGGCAGGCCUAUGCUCGAAUACAUUAGCAUGGAAUAAUAAAAUAGGACGUGCGGUUCUAUUUUGUUGGUUUCUAGGACCGCCGUAAUGAUUAAUAGGGACAGUCGGGGGCAUCAGUAUUCAGUUGUCAGAGGUGAAAUUCUUAGAUCUACUGAAGACUAACUACUGCGAAAGCAUUUGCCAAGGAUGUUUUCAUUAAUCAGGAACGAAAGUUAGGGGAUCGAAGACGAUCAGAUACCGUCGUAGUCUUAACCAUAAACUAUGCCGACUAGGGAUCGGACGAUGUUAUUCUUUGACUCGUUCGGCACCUUACGAGAAAUCAAAGUGC
rnacentral:rRNA from 1 species